GUCUUCGUGGUAUAGUGGUCAACACACUCAACCCGCGUUCGAGAGGCCUGCGGUUCGAAUCCCGGUGAAGGCA
rfam:Stegodyphus mimosarum contig173613, whole genome shotgun sequence.